rnacentral:rRNA from 1 species
AUUGAACGCUGGCGGCAGGCCUAACACAUGCAAGUCGAACGAGUGGCGAGCGGGUGAGUAAUGUCUGGAACACUGCCUGAUUGAGGGGGCUAACUACUGGAAACGGUAGCUAAUACCGCAUACCCUCAGAUGUGCCCAGAUGGGAUUAGCUUGUUGGUUGGGUAAAGACUCACCAAGGCUACGUUCCCUAGCUGGUCUGGGAGGAUGACCAGCAACACGGGAACGGAGACACGGGCCAGACUCCUGCGGGAGGCAGCAGUGGGGAAUAUGGCACAAUGGGCGCAAGCCUGAUACAGCCAUGCCGCGUGUAUGAAGAAGGCAUUCGGGUUGUAAAGUACUUUCAGCUGGGAGGCGUUACCCGCAGAAGAAGCACCGGCUAACUCCGUGCCAGCCGCCGCGGUAAUAC